UACAGAGACCUCAAGCGUUAUCCGGAAUCAUUGGGCGUAAAGCGUACCGAUAGGUGGUUUUACAAGUCAGAAGUGAAAUCUUUAAGCUUAACUUAGAGAAUGUCUUUUGAAACUGUAAAACUAGAGGAGCAAAGAGGAAGCUGGAACGAACGGUGUAGUAGUGAAAUGCGUUGAUAUCGUUCGGAACACCAAUAGCGAAGGCAGGCUUCUGGGUGCUACCUGACACUGCUAGGACGAAAGCGUGGGGAGCGAUAAGG
rnacentral:rRNA from 1 species